UGGAUAAUGUUAUAAGAAGAAAACCGAGUGUGUGAGUGGCAGCAGCAGAUCUGAGUGGAUGGACUUGACAUAGUAGCAGCGGAGGAUAUGGAUGAUAAUUGAAGUUGAUGUAUGAAGUGCUUGUGGUGGUCAGGGAUUCUAGCUCAGAAAGCCCUCUCUAGGAAGGAAGCUAGAGGAGAAGGAAAAGAAGCACAAGUUGAAUGACUAUUGGUGGAGAAAAGCUGGAAGAUUCAUCAGCCAAUAAUCUCUCAAUUUCCAAAAGUAACAUACAAAAUCAGCCAAUAAUCUCUCAAUUUCCAAAAGUAACAUACAGAAGUUGCCUUGGGUUUUUUAUAAGCAUACCCAUUCGGCCUUGGCAAGGAAAGUACUAGAUCCAUGAAAUGUGGAUCUGCUGACACGUAGGCAGCCAUGUGCAGCAUGUGUUAGCCUUCUAGAAGGCCUUAAUUAACAUGUGGAAAAUGUUUUCUAACCAAGUAGCAUGUGUUACAUGUGUGACAGCUAUAAAACUAAAUGUGUCGUGCCAUACAUGUAAGGAAAAUGAGGCGUUUUAUCCCUUUCCUUCCUUGGACCAUCUUGGCUCUUGAUCUUGCCCUCCUAGCUUCCAUUCAAAACAUGUGAAAAAUAUCUGACCUUCUUGUGUUGGCUCUUGGAUUUCGUGUUGUAAUUUCCUGGCCAUCUGUCUUGUUAUAGGACCUGAAUUUAGACUGCUAGGACCCCGUGUAUCACAAGAGAAUUCUUCUCAGUUCUAGACUUCCUCAUAUGUCCCCGUAUUGACAAAAUCAAAGAUCAGGACACUGAAUGAGUUAAACAAUGGAAGCUUUAAAGUACAAAGAAGAAAAUCCAAACUAUUGAUAAUAC
rnacentral:lncRNA from 1 species